UACAGAGGGUGCGAGCGUUGUUCGGAAUUAUUGGGCGUAAAGGGCGCGUAGGCGGUGCGGUAAGUCACCUGUGAAAUCUCCUGGCUCAACUGGGAGCUUGCAGGCGAAACUGCCGUGCUGGAGUGUGGGAGAGGUGCGUGGAAUUCCUGGUGUAGCGGUGAAAUGCGUAGAUAUCAGGAGGAACACCUGUGGCGAAAGCGGCGCACUGGACCACAACUGACGCUGAGGCGCGAAAGCUAGGGAGCAAACAGG
rnacentral:rRNA from 1 species